UUUUUUUUCCCUUUUUUUUUUUCUUUAACUUUUUUUUUUUUUUUUUUUUUUUUUUUGAAUUUGCCUGAUGAAGGUCUUGUAGCGAAAUGUUGCAUCAAAUUGUUCCUUUCCCUACAAGUUGGACAGUGUGCGGGUGUUUUCUUUUCUUUUUUUUAAAAUUGAAUUUUCUGAAAAUUCCUGUAAGAAUCUGGACAACGUAAUUUCCCAUUCAUGAAACCACCUCCAUUUCCUCAUCUAUGUCACAACAAUGUUUGGUCAAAGUCAAUAUUUAAGUCCACUCUUAAUCUUGGUCAUUUAUUGACAGUAUUAAAUUUACUAUAAGGUGUUCGUGGAGACAGUUCAGAGGAGCUCAUCAUUAUCACUGUUGAAGUGAGUCUUCAGCAAAGAGAUAACACCGUUCAUGCCUGAGCAAAAACGUGUCUGGCCUACUUCACUUCACUUGCAGCCGAUCAUCCUCACAUCUUGACCCGCGGGAGGAUUCAUGUCGCCGUUUUACAACAGGGAAGCUUCUGGAGGCUAUCAGUUGCGUGCGCUGUUAUCAGCCUCAUAGGGUGUUACUCAUUAACUGACUUGACGCGACCGAAACUUCACAGGGAGGGAGAGAUCGAUGAGCACAAUAACUAGCUUUGGUGUGAAAGAGGUGAUCGAGUGAGUUCAGGAAAACAGAAAACUGAUAAGGCAACGAGUAAAAAAACUGAAUGUAAAAUGAAAACAUAAGGUAGAAAACAAUUUUAAUAAUUAACAAACAUCGCCUUUUAGAGACAGUUUUACAAACUUUUACAUCAAUGAUUCCUCAGAGCCAGGGUAAUUCAGCUCUGCAUCAGUGAGCUUCAGUUACAAGGGCCAAUGUUCAUGAGUGCCCACUGAUUCACACAGCUGAGAGGAGACGUCAGAGAACAUGGUGUAUUGGUGAAGUUACGCCUUAUUUUCAUGUCAUCACAGUAAUUUGGAGUUACUGUGUAAACCAGGCGAACAGCAGUUUACGACUCGGACGAAAGCAGUAAAUUAAGAUAUUAGCCAACGUGCUGUAUGAUGAGAUGUUUUUGUCUAAAUCUGUCACACUAAAUACUCUUCCUCUUUUUUAACGGCUGAUUGUGAUCUGAGGUUUUAUUUGCGGAGCAUCGAUCCAUGAUUAGAUAAACAGGGAACCAAUUCUUAUCUUUAUCGAUGUAGAUAACAAACCUUAUCUGAAGAUCUCAUCUGCCACGGAGUCACGUUUUCUUAUUUUUCUCGAGACACAAACCAGCAACAGCAAAAACAACCUUGAGGGGACGAAAUACACGGCAGACUUAAGCAAGCUUUUUUCCUGCCACGCCGACACUUAAGUUCUUUAUACCGUACAUUUGCAGUCCAUUAAAAAGAUUCAAAUAUCAUUACAAGGUUGAGAGAACCUGCAAAUUUAUCUAUACAUAAGGGACAAGACCAGAAACUAGUACUGAAUGAUCUCCAGACAUGACUUUGGGCUUAACUCAGUUCUCAGGACCUGAGUCUGGAGUCCUGACCUGUGACCUGCUAGACCUGCUAUCAGAAGACUUAAUUCAAUCAGACAAAUGGAUAUAUGUAUUUAGCCAUGCAAAAAGCCCAUUUACAUCAACCAAUUAGAAGGCUAAUACAUACAGCCAAUCUGAACGCCUAAAUCAACCAGCAAAUUUGAAUCCUUGAUUCUUUCAGCCAAUAAGAACCUGUGAUGCAUUUAGCCAAUCCAAAGAGGCAAUUUUAACCAGCCUAUCAGAAAACAAUACAUUCAACUAAAGCAAAUUAAAUCAUUCAGCCAAUCAGACAGCUGAUUCAAUCGGCGACCAGAUUUCUCCAUUCAAUCAGUUUAUCAAAAAUUGAUUCGUCCAGCCAGUUAUUCAGCUUACUGUAGGCUUGUGUUUCAGUCAGCCAAUCAGUGAACUUGAUACACUCAACUAAUCAGGUUGCUUGAGUCAUUUAGCCAACAGGAAUACUUGGUUCAAAUCUUCCGAUUUCUUAAACAGAAGGCUUGUGACAUGGGGCUCUAUUUUCAUGCCUGGUGGCGGAUGGUGGCACACCCCGUGCAGUGGUAUUUUUGUCUGGUGCACAGCCAGUUUGGUAUUUUCAUAGACUGAGGUACUGGUCACCAAAAUACCAAAGUGUGUUUGGGCAUGCCUUGUUGGCGCAGUGGACCUGACUUACGCCGUGCCUGUGCCACGCUGCUGGCGAGGCACAAAAAUAGAGCCCAGUGAGCCAAUUAGCAGGUUUAUUACAUUGAGCCAACCACAGGCUAGAUUUACAGGGAGACAAAUUAAUAAAUAAAUGCUCGAUCCAGUCAGCAAAUCAGAAGGCUUGAUACAGUCUGCCAAUCAACACACUCAAUAGAUUUAGCCUAUUGAAAGGCUUGAAAUGAUCAGGAACCAGCUUGUUACAUUUAGCCAACAAUAAUGCCCGAUUCUAUCAGCCAAUCAGAAAUUUUAAAGGAUUUUUAUCGAACAACAACUUUUAGUUUUAAAAAUACUGUCUGUGCGUAACUUUGAAAUAUCAUUUAGAUUAUUGGUAAACCCAUUUUUAGUUUAUUUUGUCCGGCAGUGACCAGCACACUUAGACACGUUUUGUCUGUGCAGCCGUCCACCUUGUUCAUCUUUAUGACUUACUGACCCCACCUCUGUUUAAUGAGUUCCUCUAAGAAAGUGCAUUAAAAAGUUAUAGUCCCAUCAACUCUUCCUUCAAUCACAUUCAGUUUGUUUUCACGGGCAGAGCCUCUGUGAUUUUCACAUCUAAUAACACAAACUCAUUAGCAACACCAUGGCCAGGUGAGCUGUAAAAGCAGGCUUCGCAAACAGCUCUGCCAUAAAACAAGACGUUUAUGAGAGGGGGCGGGAUCCAGUUUUCAGAGGAGCCCAGGUGGAGGUGAAGGAAGCCAACAAGCCCAGAGUGACUUCUUUGGUUUAUUCCCAAACAUUAACAAGACUGUUUUGUGGCAGACUUGUCGUAUUUUUUUCUAGAAAGCAGCCUCAUUAUCACGUUUUAAUCAUGUCAGCAGAAUUGCAACUUUACCCUGCCUCACCCUGUUAGGCUCGAACCUGAGGUCACUGACAAUUGACUGCUUCUUAAAGAUGUGAAGGCCCUGAGUUAAAUAUUCUUUGAAGCGAGAAGAAAUGUGUGGUUAUUGGGUGAUGUAUAAAUUUACACCAGUCUGCUUUUAGGAAUGUAAAAUUUAGAAAUGGAUGAGUUUGGGGCUCUUGGCUCUUUUAACAGUCGCUUUCAGAGUUAAUCCGUCAAAGACUAGAUACAUCUGUUAGCGGUUUUGUAGGCUGUAGCCAGAUGUACUUUACCAGUGAACCAAACAGACAAAAAUACUGUGGCGCUAAAUUGAUGACAAAAGGUUCAAGAUUAAUACAAAAACCUGCAGGAUUCAGGUUCUGCUAGUGAAUGCAACUUUGCAGCCUGCAUAGACCUGCAAAGAUCCAUGAUUCGCAGUGGCAACAGCGUAGCAGCUGCCUAUGAGAUAUGAUUUGAACCAGGUAAUCUCACCUGCAGGAAGAAGGAAGUAUGUUAUGGUCCAAAGUAUCAAAGCUUACUCUGAAAAUCUUCUUCUCAUUUUUGUCGUUGAGAAAAUUAUGGUCAUAGAUUUUUUUUUUGUAGCUCAUUUUCAUUCAUAAAAUUCGAAUAUUAUUGAACCGAUAUGAUAACAGCCGUAGAAAUAGGUUGUGAGCCUGGCCAGUCUUAACAUGACUCGGGGAAAUGGUCACCAAUGAGCAGGACUUGAUGACAUUGCCUUUCAAGACUGUGGAAAAAACACAAGUAGUACGCAACGUCCAGUUCUGAGUGCGUUUCUUGUAUUUUAUCUACAAUCUGUUGUGCUAAGUGAACACACUGUGCUUUUAUCAGGCUGAGGAAAUAGCAGAUUAUGGUGAUGCUUUCUAAUGGGGGGUGGUAAACGUCAUUGCUGAUAUAUUGCCUGGCUGAAGAGAUCAGGAGACGGAAACACAAUUAGGUCAAUGUCAGUAGCUUUUGGCCUUUUCAUGCAGGGAAAAAAGAAAAUACACUGAUUGAAGUUUUAAGGUUCGGGGAAUAAUUUCUAGAAGUAGGGAGUUCAGAUUAUGAAUCCUAUCAUAUCUUUCCCUACAGCUAACCACUCCCAAAUUUACUGUCUUAAAUUGCCGUUCAGUUAGUGGCACUUGGCCUAGCAGUAGCAUCUCCCGUCUACAUUGUUAAGUGUUUUAGAUAAAAAAAAAAGUAGUUUUAUUACAGCUCGGUGCAUUUCCCUCCAUAGUCUUAGGUUUCUAGUUACAGAGCACUGACAUGGCAAAAUGC